AAAGAGAAAACGCAAAUAGACCAAACAUAACCAGCUUGACCAACAUAACGGUUUAAAACUUCUACUGAUCAUUUUUCAGGUUAUGUUUAGCAUGAUUGUAAGAAGGAGAUUAGGUUAUGUUUUAUCAACAACCUGAACAGUCAGGUUAAGAUGUAACAAAGUACAGUAGAUACAAAAUUAUUCAUAACUUGGUAGGUUUAUUCUUAUAAAUAAGCCCUUCUUUAGCAGAAGACUUAUCAAACACAAAGACAUAAUAUUGAUGAAUUCGUUUAAAACAGAAAGUUGAAACGAUUAAUUGUAUGAUUAGGCUAUUCAUCACUGUACCAGGGAAUAACAGGCUGAUUGAGCUAUGGAUGAAACUUUCUGCUGGGUCUAUCCUGCUAGUUUAUUGCUGGUGAUCACCGUAUCAAUUAUCAGGCACGAAAAUAUGUCACAAAGACCGCAGGGACAGUUCAUCGUGUGUGUUGUUCCUCAUUCUGCAAAGGCAGUAGUGAACAUGAGUUAUCCUAUAGUUUGACACCGUACACAUCGUUUUACCAUUACCAUAGUUUAUC